CGCAUAAAUCUGAGAAGCGUGAGUUUGUCAUUAUUGUUUAUCUAGACAUAGGAUAGGUUGUGUGAAAAUAUUACUGAUGUUUAACGUUAAAAAUGGACCAAAAGAUUAAUGCUAAACAACGUUUGACAUGUUUGAACGAACGUAAAUAGAUUAUUUACUAGGUUUUUUAGCUUUUCGGCGUGAUUUUACAACCCCCCCACCACGUUUUGUGGGAGCAUAAUGAACGCUAACUACUUGGUGUUAUUUGGACAUAAAUUAUGAACUUUGUCAAAAGAAACCACAUUUGUUCCGGACCUGGGAUUCCUGGCAGUGCCUUCUGAUGGAGAUAAUCAAAGGUAGACUGGUGUCAGACUGGAGCGGCAGCUGCCAUGGCUGUGUAGAGAAACAUCUGUUCUUCAACAUGUCCAUCCUGCAGCCAGUGGAGCAGCUUUCUCUGGCGCAGCUGGAUAUGAAGAUCCAGUGGGAACCAUUCUCCUGGUCCCAAAGCCCUCAGCAUGUCCCUGUACAAGGUGCCACGAGGUCAACCGCAGACUGGUGCUGUCCCAGUAGGUGCAACUGGAACCACACUGUAAAACAUUUCCUAUAAAUAUACAGUAACUUACUGGAAGCAAUUGGCCAGUAAGUUACUGUAAUUUAUUUUUACUGUACAGUGGCUGUAAUCAAUUUUAUGGCAAUUAAUUUUUGGUACUAAAAAUGUUACUGUAAUGUAUUACCCAGUGUAUUACCCAGUGUUCUUUGCAAAUGUUAAUUUUUACAUUUACAUUUUGGUAAUUUAGGGGGCGCUCUUGUCCUCAGUAACGCACAGUCACUGCAUUCAACCAAGAUUAAUAAAAAACAAGGUGUAUCACAGUCAUAGCAAGUAAACUGAGGACCAUUGUGGUGCCAUUCAUCGGCCACAAUCACUUCAAGUUUCAAAAUGAUAAUUUAUGCAUGUCAGACUUCAACAUCUGUACACAAUUCCUGGAAGCUGGAAAUGUCCCAGUUCUUCAAUGGCCUGCAUACUCCCCAGACAUGUCAGAUAUUGAGCAUGUUUGGGAUGCUCUGGAAUGACGUGUACAGGAGCAUGUUCCAGUUCCCAACAAUAUCCAACAACUUUGCACAGCCAUUGAAGAGGAGUGGGACAACAUUCUACAGGCCACAAUCAACAACCUUUUUUAUUUAACAUUUAUUUAAUUAGGCAAGUCAGUUAAGAUCAAAUUCUUAUUUACAAUGAUGGCCAUCACUGGCCAAACCCGGACGACGCUGGGCCAAUUGCACGCCGCUCUAUGGGACUCCCGGUUGUGAUACAGUCUGGAAUCGAACCAGGGUUACGCAUCUAGCACUGAGAUGCAGUGCCUUAGACCGCUGCCACACUCAGAAGCCAGAUCAACACUGCAAAGGAGAUGUUUUGUGCUGCAUGAGGCAAAUGGUGGUCACAUGAAAUACUGACUGGUUUUAUGGUCCACGCCCGUACUUUUUUUUUAAGGUCACUACAUGACCAAAAAUAUGUGCCCGUUGAACAUCUCAUUCCAAAAUCAUGGGCAUUAAUAUGGAAUUUACUCCCCCUUUGCUGCUAUAACAGCCCCCACUCUUCUGGGAAGGCUUUCCACUAGAUGUUGGCUAAUUGCUGUGGGGACUUGCGUCCAUUCAGCUACAAGACCAUUAAUGAAGUCGACCAUUGAUGUUGACCGAUUAGGCCUGGCUCACCGUCGGCGUUCCAAUUCAUCCCAAAGGUGCUCGAUGGGGUCGAGGUCAGAGCUCUGUGCAGGCCAGUCAGGUUCUUCCACAUCAAUCUCAACAAACCAUUUCUUUAUGGACCUCACUUUGUGCACGGGGGCAUUUUCAUGCUGAAACAGGAAAGAGCCUUCCCCAAACUGUUGCCACAAAGUCUACAAUGUCAUUGUAUGCUGUAGUGUUAAGAUUUCCCUUCACCAGAACUAAGGGGCCUAGCUCAAACCAUGAAAAACAUCCUCAGACCAUUAUUCCUCCUCCACCAAACUUUAAAGUGUGGACUAUGCAUUGGGGCAGGUAGAGUUCUCCUGGAAUCCACCAAACCCAGAUUCGUCCGUCGGACUGCUAGAUAGUGAAGCGUGAUUCAUCACUCCAAAGAAGGCGUUUCCACUGCUCCAGAGUCCAAUGACGGCAUGCUUUACACCACUCGAGCCGACACUUGACAUUGUGCAUGGUGAUCUUGUUGUGCAUGGCUUGUGUUCGGCUGCUCGGGCCCAUUUCAUGAAGUUCCCGAUGAACAGUUAUUGUGCUGACGUUGCGUCCAGAGGCAGUUUGGAACUCGGUAGUGAGAUGUGCAACCGAGGACAGAGGAUGUUUACUCGCUACGCGCUGCAGCACUCGGC
rnacentral:lncRNA from 1 species